CGGAUAUAUAUAAAAGCCACGGAGACAACUUUCUCUCCUAUUCCCCCUGUAAACCCUAACAGAAAACUUCACCGCCGGUUUCAUCUGCUGCUUCAUUCUUCUUCUUCACGAUUACAAGAUCCCCUUUCUAAUGUUCAUCCUUCUCAUCUCAAUUAUUGGUAUCAUCACCUACCGACAUCUUCACUUUUCUUUCUCAUUCUCCCUCUCAAAAUUCUUCUGCAUAUGCUUGAUUUUAACAAUUAAUCAAACAAGAUCAAAGAAUAAUCAUCCCUGACUCGGUUUUUGGCGUUGGACGUUGGCGAUGGUGGAAAUCCUUUGUUUCAGUAUUUGGUGAUGAUGGGGAGGACAGAUUCGCCGCUGUCACCAUUUUGUUGUUCCGUGUUCGUCUUCGAAUCCUUUAGGGUUUAUGGACGACAGUUAACGAUGGCGGCUCUGGUUUCAAUUGGUAUUGGUCUGUGGCUUGGUCACUUUGUGUUUCAAUAUGUUUGGUCACUUUGUUUUCAGUAUCAUUUCUAGAUGCUCACUUUAAUCUCUAUAAUUCUAAAGAUCUAAAAAAUGUAAAAGAAUUCUAAAAAAAUAAAAAGACCUAAAAGAAUAACUGCACAAUUCCAUUAGAUCUCUGAUGUUUGCUGAUGUUUGGAUGCCGUUGAAUAGAUAGUUUAUGCAUUUACUUUUUCAACUUUCAUGUUGCAAGCUUUCAUGGCCUUUGGGAUCACAUCUGUGGUAGAUAUUGCAUUAUCAUUCUAGCGUAGUUUGAUCCGUAUGAAACAAACAAUGCUCAUGAAUCAGAAGUUGUUUGUCCACGUGAACUGGUAAGUUUAAUUUGUAUGAACUAUUUGUUGGGAGUGGUAUAUAAACUAAAUUUGUUAUUGGCCCACUAUUUGCAUUUGUUUAGGGGUAUAAGGUUACCACGAUAUCUCAUAACCUCACUUUUCACAAACCCUACAUACCAUUUCCUAAUCUGCUUCUUCAUUUUUCAGAGAUUCAUCGUCGUUGAUGAGAUUGAUUCAUAAGGACGACAAUGUUUUGAUGUUUUCUUCAUCUUCAUGGUUUGUUUGUGCCCUUUCGUAUCCACCUCCACCGAAACUCUAAUCGACUAGAGAAAUCGCCAAAAGUUCUUCACGAUAUGGUUAGUUUCUUCUCUCAAUUUUGUUAUUCAAUCAUUGAAUCUGUUGUCAGCAUCAUGAUUAGCAUUCUCCCGUAAUCACAACAAAGCACAUGUACACCCCAUCCCCUUUGUUUGUUAUUCUUUAAAGGUUUUUGGGAUGUUUAGGAUUGGACAACUGUUAAUGCUUCAUUUUUUUGGUCAUUUUUUUACAUGAGUUCAUCAUCAUCAUUAGAUGUAUUGAUCAGGAAUAACAAAUUUUCAUCUAUUUUUCUCAUCCGAUUUGGUUUAAUUGCAGUUUGGUAGUCGUUUUCGAACAGGCCAGUAACAUAACAAAUUUUCAUCUAUUUUUCUCAUCCGAUUUGGUUUAAUGGCAGUUUGGUAGUCGUUUUCGAACAGGCCAGUAACAUUUUCCAAUCGCUAUUCUUGAUUGCUUAGUUUCUUUACUGUUUAAUUUAAUCUCACCUGUUCUUUAGAAUUCAAGGAUUUGUGAUUUUUUAAUGUGGAUUUUUUAUUAUUGUAGAUAUCGCAGUACUCGGUUAAGGAGAUUGUACAAAUCUUUGAAGUUCACCAAUAGGCGUGGAAAUUAACCACAAAAUCCAUUCCAUCAUCUACUGUUAGGAUCAUAAUUAUGGUUCUUUUAAUUUUCUAUUAUUUGAGUUAAUUGAUCGUAGUUUUCUUAAUCUUUAGGAUUUGAAAAUAAGACCGACGAGUUUGAACGAAGUACCUUCGGAUUCGACUAUGAAAGGUGUGGGCUUUGAUGGUGGUAGGUGGUUGUUGCCUGGUUGAAGUGGAAGGGACCACUGACACAAUAUCGAUAUCAGGACGAAUAUAUGCUUAUGGUGUUGUAAUUGGUUUGCAUUUUAUAUGAGUUCAGGAUCUGUUCAUCUACAACUGGUAAAACCUAUAAAACCGAACUGAACUCAACGCUGUCAUUGCUACUACUGCUUCUCCGAUGAAAUCAGUUCUGGUUAAUUCGUCGAUAUGCCAAUUUUUGUCAGACACUAGCAAGCCUGUAACUAUUGGCACAUGUGGCAGCCCAACAUGGUGAUCAGUCCAACCCAAAGUACUGGCACUCCUGGGGCUGCAUAGGAGUUUUUGCUGAGGUUAAAUUAGAACAGAAGAUGAAGACAAAAAGGUAAGCUUUUACUAAAAAUUUCCAUGGCUGUUGUAAUUAUAGAGUUUUUGUUGAGGUUAAAUUAGAACAGAAGAUGAAGACAAAAAGGUAAGCUUUUACUAAAAAUUUUCAGAAAUCGGGUAUAGGCGUGUGGCUGAUCAUCUUUGUAAAAAGGAGAUGAUGCGGUAAGAAACUCAAUAUUUAAGCUUUUACCUCAUGUAACCAAGGUGAUCGGGUCGCACAAAUUAUGUAAAGGGUCAAUCCAAAUUCUGGUUAAAAUGGGUCGCGCAGAUUAUUGACACUUUGGGUGAAUUUCGAGCUAUUUGACAUGAUUAUUUUUUAAGAAUCAGUAAAUUUUUCAUCAUAAGAUUUUAUGAUUUUAGGGACCUUGGGUUUUAAAACAAAGUGCUAGAGCCACUCUGUUGGAUAAGUUGAUUAAAAACCAAUUAGUUUUGAUCUGUAAGCAGGGUCAUUAGAUCAUGUAGCUUUAAUAUUUCAACUUCAUCUUUUUAACUUUUUAUUCUAUAUAUUAUUCAAACUUCAUCACGUGAAAAGGAAUUGUUGUAGGUAUACAUUUACGCUUUUUGACUUUUUAAUCUAUAUAUUAUUCAAACUUCAAAGUCAUAUAUGGUGUGACAAAUUUUUAACAUGUUUUAUUUGCAGCUACACGUGUCAUCCCGGACCCCAAUCAAAGAAAAACUUCCGAUCAUCAAUGACGAUGUUGCUCUUUAACCUCACUGUGUUUCUCCUGAUGUUGGAUAUGUAUGCUUCCGAAAGAAGAAAAGCGAAAAUGCUCAACUUUUCCAUUGCGUACGGGAAAACCCCCGUUGGUCUUGCACGUGAUUGGAAGGUUUUGGUAAACGAAUCAAAAGAAACAGUUAAAAGAUGGUAUAACGGCAGAGAAGAAGUGCUCAGAUGGCAAGAAGCCCGUAAAAAAGAAGCCCGGAGUAUUGGAUGUGUAUAUACACUGUUGGGCCGGGCCCGCACUUUCCCGUCCACAAAAAAACGCUACUCCGUCACAUAGAGGCCACAUUGAACGGGCCGCAAUUAAUACACCCGUUCAGGGUAGCGCUGCUGAUGUGGCGAUGUGUGCCAUGCUGGAAAUAUCCAAAAACGCUCGGUUGCGAGAGCUUGGGUGGAAGCUGCUCUUACAGGUCCAUGACGAAGUGAUACUGAAAGGGCCCACUGUCACACCCCCAAAAUCCACCAUGCGGAGUACUACCGCUUGGAGGCGUGACAUGACCAGGAUCGAGCCACCAAUCAUACUGAACUACGUAUUUAAGUAAUUAAAGCC